AUUGUGAUUUUAAAAAAGCAGCAGCAGCUGUAUGUGUCAUCAUAAAGAAUUCCAAUAGUCUGGACUUCUCCCAAGAUACCCUACUUAAAGAACAUUUUCUUAUGUUCCAUUUCAAUAUUUUGUUAACUAUGAGGAUGUGCUGGCUUGUUGAAUCAAACAGAAGGAAAUAUGGAAUAUUUUUCCAAAUAGUUUUGGUUCACUAUUCACAGGACGUUGGCAUUGACGUCUCCAGUUGAAAAUGUGCCUAUUCCAUGACUCAGGAUUUUAUCUCCUAGAUAUGUAUUCGGCAGAAAUGCAUGAGUAUGCACUAACAGGCAUGACAAGAAUAUUCAUAGUAGUGCUAUUCACAGUAGUCCCAAACCAGAAACCCAAGUGUAUGUCUCCAUUGGAACAGAAAACUCUACCUUGGUCUACUUCUACAGUGGCACAUCAACCCACCUUUGGAUCUAAGAAGUAUGUUCAUGCAACAGCUAUAGAGACGGUGCUGUUUAAAGGCAAUCUGCCCAUCCUGUGUAUUGACAAGCAUCAGGAUCCCACGAGGAUUCUUCCUCAUUCAAAGACUGGCAAACAGAAAAACACAGUAAAUGAACAAAAACAUCAACAUGGAGCUCAAGUAAAUAAUUUAUAAAGGAAAUGUAUACUACUUUGAAAACAAUAAAAGCUUAUGUUAGAAAAUAUCCUACUGUAA